AUUGAACGCUGGCGGCAGGCCUAACACAUGCAAGUCGAGCGGAUGAAGGGAGCUUGCUCCUGGAUUCAGCGGCGGACGGGUGAGUAAUGCCUAGGAAUCUGCCUGGUAGUGGGGGAUAACGUCCGGAAACGGGGGCUAAUACCGCAUACGUCCUGAGGGAGAAAGUGGGGGAUCUUCGGACCUCACGCUAUCAGAUGAGCCUAGGUCGGAUUAGCUAGUUGGUGGGGUAAAGGCCUACCAAGGCGACGAUCCGUAACUGGUCUGAGAGGAUGAUCAGUCACACUGGAACUGAGACACGGUCCAGACUCCUACGGGAGGCAGCAGUGGGGAAUAUUGGACAAUGGGCGAAAGCCUGAUCCAGCCAUGCCGCGUGUGUGAAGAAGGUCUUCGGAUUGUAAAGCACUUUAAGUUGGGAGGAAGGGCAGUAAGUUAAUACCUUGCUGUUUUGACGUUACCAACAGAAUAAGCACCGGCUAACUUCGUG
rnacentral:rRNA from 1 species